rnacentral:rRNA from 1 species
AUUGAACGCUGGCGGCAGGCCUAACACAUGCAAGUCGAACGAGUGGCGGACGGGUGAGUAAUGUCUGGGAAACUGCCUGAUGGCGGGGGAUAACUACUGGAAACGGUAGCUAAUACCGCAUACCAUCGGAUGUGCCCAGAUGGGAUUAGCUAGUAGGUGGGGUAAAGGCUCACCUAGGCGACGCUCCCUAGCGGGUCUGAGAGGGUAACCGGCCAAACGGGAACGGAGACAGGGUCCGGACUCCUACGGGAGGAAGCAGUGGGGAAUAUUGGACAAGGGGCGCAAGCUGGAUGCAGCCAUGCCGGGUGGAUGAAGAAGGCCUUCGGGUUGUAAAGUACUUUCAGCGGGGAGGCGGUACCCGCAGAAGAAGCACCGGCUAACUCCGUGCCAGCCGCCGCGGUAAUUC